rnacentral:rRNA from 1 species
GUAGAGCAUACCAAGACGCUUGAGAGAACUGUCCUGAAGGAACUCGGCAAAUUGCAUCUGUAACUUCGGGAGAAAGAUGACUUUUACCCACGCAAGUGGGAAAGAGUGACACAAACCAGGUGGUAGCGACUGUUUACCUAAAACACAGGGCUCUGCGAAGUCUUUAAGACGACGUAUAGGGUCUGACGCCUGCCCGGUGCCGGAAGGUUAAAAGGAGGAGUGCAAGCUCUGAAUUGAAGCCCCGGUAAACGGCGGCCGUAACGAUAACGGUCCUAAGGUAGCGAAAUUCCUUGUCGGGUAAGUUCCGACCUGCACGAAGGCGUAACGACUUCCACACUGUCUCCAGGGCAGACUCAGUGAAAUUGAAUUCCUCGUGAAGAUGCGGGGUACUCGCGGUUAGACGGAAAGACCCUAUGAACCUUUACUGCAACUUCGCAGUGGCAACACGAUUGACAUGUGUAGAAUAGGUGGGACCCUUUGAAGUUCCGGCGCCAGCCGGGAUGGAGGGAUCAGUGAAAUACCACCCUUGUUUUUUGUGUUGUCUAACCUCUCUCCAUUAUCUGGAGAAGGGACCCUGCGUGGUGGGCAGUUUGACUGGGGCGGUCGCCUCCCAAAUAGUAACGGAGGCGCGCGAUGGUAAGCUCAGGACGGUCGGAAAUCGUCCUUUGAGUGCAUUGGCAUAAGCUUGCCUGACUGUGAGACUGACAAGUCGAGCAGAGACGAAAGUCGGUCAAAGUGAUCCGGUGGUUCCGUAUGGAAGGGCCAUCGCUCAACGGAUAAAAGGUACUCUAGGGAUAACAGGCUGAUAGCGCCCAAGCGCCCACAGCGACGGCGCUGUUUGGCACCUCGAUGUCGGCUCAUCUCAUCCUGGGGCUGGAGAAGGUCCCAAGGGUAUGGCUGUUCGCCAUUUAAAGAGGUACGUGAGCUGGGUUCAGAACGUCGUGAGACAGUUCGGUCCCUAUCUUCCGCGAGAGUUGGAGUCUUGAGAGGAUCUAUCCUUAGUACGAGAGGACCGGGAUGGACGCACCCCUGGUGUACCAGUUGUUCUGCCAAGAGCAUCGCUGGGUAGCUAUGUGCGGAAUGGAUAAACGCUGAAAGCAUCUAAGCGUGAAACCAGCCUCAAUACCAGGACUCCCUAUUAGAGCCGUAGUAGACUACUACGUUGAUAGGCUGGGUGUGGAAGCGCCGUAAGGCGUGAAGCUUACCAGUACUAAUUGCUC